CUGAAAUAUUUUCGUCCAAAAGAAAAUUCAUAUAACCUUACCAAACUUAUCAUAAACCCUAGCAGCUCUCUGGUGCAAAUGAAAGAAAAUCAAACACUAGACCUUUCAUUCUCUUCAGCUUUGUUUCUCCUCUCUCACGGCGGCUAUAAAACCUAAACUCGUUUAUACUUUUUGGGUAUGUAUCUUGGAUAUCUUGUGAAAGUUGAAAAGGAGAUGAGUGAUAUUGAAGGUAUUUUCAUUUUUCAUUUUUCAUUUACAAUUUAUCGAUUUGUUUUUUAAUUGAAAAUCUUGCUCUGAGGUUCUUGCUUUUUCAUCUUUGUUUAAAUGUUGUCUUUAGUCUCGAUGGUAGCUGGUUGUUUUCUUUGUAGACAUAUGCAGGUCAUUGUCCCCAUUUCAUUCAGAUCGGGUCGUUUAAGCUUGGAUUCGACUGAGGUAUUUUUGCAUUCUUAGCAAGGGUUUUUAGUAUUUGUAAAAUUCAUGUUUUUUCAGUAUGUUUUGGUAUCAAUUGUUGAUGCCAUGGUGAUUUUUUGUAUGUUGAAGGCUACUAAAGGUUUGGAUGAUGAUAUAAUUCCUGAUGAUUUUGGCCCGUGCAAGGUUAAUUGAUUUCUCAUUUUCCUUAUUAGUAUGUAGGAGUGGAAUUUACCAAUCGAUUUCCUUUUUAAUUGAAAAUCUUGUGAUAGAACCCUCAAUCUGCAGUACUAGUGGAAGCUCUUUUGAAUUGAUAAACAAUGAAAAAUCAAAGUAAAUUCUUAUUGGAAGAGUAAAUGACCAGAAUUGGUAACAAAUCCCAGGCUAUUCGAGAGGCCUAGUCUCUCCCCCUUGACUCAACAUACACGUGAAUGAAUAAUUCCUAACCCCCAACUCUCCACACUUAUUACAUUUUUGACCCUACAAACUAACUAUUGAACCUUCUAGAUUAACAAAGAUGUGGCAGCAACCAUGUGAAUCGGUUUGGCAUCUAUCAUUACCCGUCGCCUCAAAAUCCACCUUGUCUUCAACGUGGAGGCUGUUGAAUUCAUCAUACAAUCGCACAAUUUCCUUGGUAAGAGCUCCAGUCUUGAUCACCGCGAAGAAGAGGCGUUUCAGCCUUUCGAAGUGACUGAACUUAUAUAAUCGAGCAACUCGCUCAAGUAUAGUAUCUGAGGCGACUCCAUAGCCUGUCGAAUCUACCCAUAAAUUGUCCAAUUUCUGAACUUACCUCAUCGAAAUGAGUGUGUAGUUGACCGUACCUCCUUUCUUCCCUUUCCAUUGGAGCUCAACAUCUGUAAGCUUUUUAAAUUCUAACACCCCCUUGUUAGUUGUUACCCACCAGACUGUGAUGGCAGUUGAUCUAGGAAUGCACGCGACUUCAUUGGAAACAUGGAAUAGACUAAAAUGGUCAAGGGAACUUGGGCUAUAGGAAUUAAUUUUUUUAGAUGGGCCAUAACUGAAAUGGGCUUGUUUCUUUUCUUUAUUCCUGAUUUCAAUACGUUGAGCCAAUUCCUUGAAGUCCCUUAGAGUUAACAAUAUGGACCUCAGCCUAUUUAAAAGGCUUCAACCCCUUGACGACAUUGCCUUUUAUCACCUCUUCAGGGACUGCCGGAAGUGGCACAGCCCAGAUCUCAAUAUGCCCCUGAUACUCUCUUUUAAUGGUUUCUUGCUUUAAUGCCAUAAACAUUUCCAGAUUUGUCCCUUCCUGCGAUGGGCGAAUCCUCUUUAAUAGCAACUUCUUUAGAUUAUUCCCAUUCUUCAGUGGUUGUCGAUUCUCCUUCCACUGAUAAUAGGCCAGUGCUUUUCCUUCACAACAAAUAGUUGCGGCCUCCAAUUUCUCCCAAUCAUAAAUUUGAUUCAAUUUGAAAAUUCUUUGCGAUCUACUUUUCCAACUGUCGAAAUUCUCGACGUCAAACCCCGGCAUGCUCCGUAUCUCAACUUCCUAGGUUUAUCCCGGUGGUUCAAGCCUCCAUUAUAUGCACCAACUUCUUCCAAUUUUGGGAAAAUUUUAGAGGUGCUAGUGAGUUUCAGCCCCUUGAUGAGGAUAUGCUCCCGUACUUCGCUUGCAAUCGCUGGCGUUGGUGACGGUAAGGUUUUAAUUGAACUCCUGUCUUCUACGAUGGUGGAUUCUGGUGAGGAGGCUACUCGUGUACUCACCCCUGUUUCGUUGGUUUUGAUUGAAGUUUCCAGAUCAAUAGCAUUUCUAGUUAGAUUAAAUGUCUCCUUCUUAUCACGCUCUAGUCUAUCCCAUUUCUGCAUCAACUAAUCAAUUUUCUCCAUCCAUCGUGACAUACCCGUUUGAAUCUCAAAUUUCAUUGCCUCGAACUCUGAUUGCAGUCCAUCCAUCCUUAUUUCCAAAUUAUUAACCCGAUCUUCCAAUUUCUUUUCUUCAUCAAAUGUAUUAUCCCAGGGCCAGAAUGGUUGCUCUGAUACCAUUUUGAUAGAACCCCCAACCUGCAGUACCAGUGGAAGCUCUUUUGAAUUGAUAAACAAUGAAAAAUCAAAGUAAAUUCUUAUUGGAAGAGUAAAUGAACAGAAUUGGUAACAAAUCCCAGGCUAUUCGAGAGGCCUAGUCUCUCCCUCUUGACUCAACAUACACGUGAAUGAAUAAUUCCUAACCCCCAACUCUCCAUUUAUAAGCAAUCACUACUUGACUUAUUACAUUUUUGACCCUACAAACUAACUAUUGAACCUUCUAGAUUAACAAAGAUGUGGCAGCAACCCUGUGAAUCGGUUUGGCAUCUAUCAUCUUGCUCUUGAAUUCCCUACCUUUUCAUCUUCAUUUAGAUUGUGUCUUUAGUCUCGAUGGUAGCUGGUUGUUGCUUCUGUAGACAUAUGCAGGUGAUUGCCUCCAUUUCAUUUGGACUAAGUCAUUUAAGUUUGAAGUCUUACACGAACAAUCACCUCAAGAAAAAGGAUUGAGGUAUUUUUGCAUUUUUUGCAAGGUCUUUUCUUGUUUUUGAUUCUAAUUUUCAUUUGAACUGAUCUUUGUUUCUAACUUUUUGUCUUAUCAGUGGUGUAGGUUCCAUCAUUUCCAGAUCAUAUGGCUAUAGCUCUUAUUGAAGAGGAGCUCGGACAACAAUGGUAUAACAUCUACUCUGAACUUUCCUCCUCUCUCAUAGCCACUGGUAAUCUCAAUGACCAUUCACACCUAGGCCAUUUAUUUAGCAUCAUUUGCUGCAAAUGUGCAUUAUUUUUUCACUGUCACAACUUCUCAAUACUUAAUGUCUCUAAUUCGUCUUGUAUGUGAAGCUCAUAUAUUAUUUUCAUGUUUUGAAAAUUAAUGACAGCAUCACUCGGCCAAGCUAUAAGGAUUGGCUAAAAGAGAAUUGUGAUAUGGUAGUUGUCAAAGUACAGAGGCCUUUUGUCCUUGAGACCAGCAAUAGAUUUAUUCAUUACAAGCCACUUGGACUUUCUCUUCACAAAUUUUUGCAGGUAGUGAUUGUUCAUUUUCUUGUUCUGUAUUCUAUUUGUAAGAGUUUAUUAACAAGUAGUGAUCCACCUCAAAUAUAGUUUUUAAGAAAUCUGUUAACAUUGUUGGAUUGGUUGAUGAAUGAGUUGCUAACUUCUUUGAGGAACUUGAUUAUGUUAGUGAGGGAGAACAUAGAACAGGUUUUGUUGAAAAUGUCAAUUUUUGCCUUUUGCUUUUGUUCAUAAAAGUAGAAGCAAUUCGAAAUUCUUGUGAACUUCAGUUUAAUGUGUUUUUAUUUAACUUUCUUGCUAGAAUUUAGAUUUUAAGGAAUAUAUGGUUAGUUUUUUUCUUAUUUAUAUGCUGGAUAUAUCCUUCGAUAGAAGAAGUAUGCUUCAUCUGCAAAAAGAGAAAGUUUCUUCAAUAGUUUGAUUUUAACUAAUCUUGUAAUUUAUUUUUAUUUUAUGUUGUUUUGAACUCAAAAAUUAAGGGA
rnacentral:lncRNA from 1 species